rnacentral:rRNA from 1 species
CCUACGGGCGGCAGCAGUGAGGAAUAUUGGUCAAUGGGCGCGAGCCUGAACCAGCCAAGUAGCGUGAAGGAUGACUGCCCUACGGGUUGUAAACUUCUUUUAUAAAGGAAUAAAGUGAGGCACGUGUGCCUUUUUGUAUGUACUUUAUGAAUAAGGAUCGGCUAACACCGUGCCAGCAGCCGCGUUAAUACGGAGGAUCCGAGCAUUAUCCGGAUUUAUUGGGUUUAAAGGGAGCGUAGAUGGGUUGUUAAGUCAGUUGUGAAAGUUUUCGGCUCAACCGUAAAAUUGCCAUUGAUACUGGCAGCCUUGAGUACAGUUGAGGUAGGCGGAAUUCGUGGUGUAGCGGUGAAAUGCUUAGAUAUCACGAAGAACUCCGAUUGCGAAGGCAGCUUACUAAACUGCCACUGACAUUGAUGCUCGAAAGUGUGGGUAUCAAACAGGAUUAGAUACCCUGGUAGUC